rnacentral:rRNA from 1 species
UGGGGAAUAUUGCACAAUGGGCGCAAGCCUGAUGCAGCCAUGCCGCGUGUAUGAAGAAGGCCUUCGGGUUGUAAAGUACUUUCAGCGGGGAGGAAGGGAGUAAAGUUAAUACCUUUGCUCAUUGACGUUACCCGCAGAAGAAGCACCGGCUAACUCCGUGCCAGAGCCGCGGUAAUACGGAGGGUGCAAGCGUUAAUCGGAAUUACUGGGCGUAAAGCGCACGCAGGCGGUUUGUUAAGUCAGAUGUGAAAUCCCCGGGCUCAACCUGGGAACUGCAUCUGAUACUGGCAAGCUUGAGUCUCGUAGAGGGGGGUAGAAUUCCAGGUGUAGCGGUGAAAUGCGUAGAGAUCUGGAGGAAUACCGGUGGCGAAGGCGGCCCCCUGGACGAAGACUGACGCUCAGGUGCGAAAGCGUGGGGAGCAAACAGG